rnacentral:lncRNA from 1 species
AUUUUUUUCUAGUGGCUGCCUCCAUUGGAUUGUUGGGUGAGCCUUGCUCCUUGAAAAAAGUUUUGAGUUGUGCUCUGGAACAGGAUGUACAGCUGGAUCUAGAACAGUUGCCAAAGAGGUGUCCAUGGGCAAACGGUGCUGGAUUUCCCAGGUAAUGGUGAUGCUGAGAAGCAUGCCUCAUGAUGACUUACACAUCCCUCAUGCUUCAUAUUAAUUCUUCCUUUGGGUCAAAAGUAGACUGAAAUUCUUGAAACCUUGCCUGGGAAUCCUGCUGUUGCUAAAAUGGUUCAGCCGUGGUGCCUGUGGUCAGAAUACCUUGUGGCAGACCCUGGCACUGGCUGUGAAUGAAAGAACUGACGACAAAUUGCUCAAUAUCGAAAGCGAGCCAAUGCAUAUUUACAAGCCUUGGGUGAGCCAGAUGGAAUCUAAGAGCGGGAGGCCGGGUAGGAAAGCUGUUACUAUGAUGUUUCUUAGAAGACUUGCACGGCUGUUUUGCAUUGCUCUGUUAAUUGUUCCAAGGCACCCUUGGCUUCACUGCGUGCAAUUCAUACCAUGUUUUUUCAUCACUUCAGAUGCUGGCUGAAAUAUGUAUAUACAUGUGUAUAUAUAAAUGUAUACACAUACACAUAUUUAAAAAAAAAAAAAGGCAUG